AGCUAACUUUGGACAGGUGUCACAAUCUCAAGGAACCACGUGUCACCUCGUAAUUGGCCUUCAGUGAAGCAGGUAGUGGAGUUGAAGGAGCCAAUGAAUGGUUGACACCUGGGGAGGGAUCUUCAGAGAGGAGUGCGUUUCUGUUGAAGAGUAGCAGGCCAGCUGCAGGUGGAAAGGGGGUGGUGUUUUGGGGGGAGAGGGUGUUUUUUCAGCUGUGGGAGAGGAGCUUUUUAGAGAAAGAGAGUUGCAGAGAGGUUUUUUUUUGAGUUUGGGCUGCAGAUAGGGAGGGGAGGUGCCCUUUUUGCUGUGGAGGAGGAGAUAUUUUCAGCUAGGAGAUAGAGACUUUUGAGGGAGAUUUUCUUUUCUCCAGUGAGAUUCUUGAAGCUGCAGAGUGAGAGAGAAAAGGAGUUUUCUCAGGUAUGUUCGCCAAACCAUGCUUUGAUCGUCAUUGAUAUCUUCUGGGUUAUGGUGCUAUGCAUAACACAUGUUUGGUUCUUCAUAUGAAAUUUGAUUAAGAAUGAUCUAACUCUUCUUUAGUUCUUUUUGUUUGUCUGUGUCAUAUUCCUGGAUCUUGCUUUCAUCUGAUUCUUCCCACCCAUCCAUUGGAUGCUCUGUUUCUUUUUCUUCUUUUCUUUAUGCUUGUCCCUUUCAUGGUUUAUUCUCUAUUCUCGGUGGCUGUUUACACCUACAAGAAUAAGGGUUUGGCUAUCAUGGCCUUGGGAUUUCAUAAAAGUUCGGUUCCUGAAUUUGAGUAAAUGCUGUCUCAUUGCUUAUGGAGUCGCUUGGUGGCUCUCCUCUGAAUUAGCGGUUACUAUAUCGGGUGACUUGCAAAGAUGGACAUGACGGAGGAUUUUUGAAGCUUCUCUGCAAGUCCUUCGGAGGUUUAUCACUGAUAUUGUAAUGACCGGGUAUUUUAUGCCACGUUAGCAAUUUUAGUUUGAAAAGUCUUAAUUUAUGUGAUGGUUGAAAAGUCAAAAAGAAAAGCGUUUGGAGAACACGUGUCAAUUUCGGAUUGGUGAAUUUCGUUUUAUUGCGUCGGUCAAUUAAACGAGUUGAAAUUUUAUGCCAUGUCAGCCUUAGGAUAGAAAAUUCUUAGGAUUUUAGAAAUUGGAAAUUUACGGGAACGAAAAACGAAAACGAAAAAUGAAAAAUAAAUAAAUUAAGAUUAAUUAGAAUUAAUUAAGAAAAAUAAAUUAAUUAAUUAAAGUAAAUUGAUGAAUAAUAAUAUUAAGAAAAUUAGUUUUUAUUUGGUGUUAAUAAAUAAAAUUGUGUGUUAAAAUGAAAAAAAAAAUGAAUUGGAAAUUAAAUAAAACAAUUAGAAUAAAGAAAAGAAAAGAAAAUAAAAGAAAAGAAAUAAUAACAAUAAUAAUGGAUUGGGCUUAGUUUUUGAGUUGGGCUUGGAGCAAGUGGGCUGGUGGUUUUUUUUAAAAAGCCAUGUGAAGUGGGCUGGGCUGUUAGUAAAAAGAAAAAGAAAAAAAAAAAGGAAAAGGGUGAAAAUUGGAAAAGUGCAGCACGCGGGAGAGAGAGAGAGAGAAAAGGGCACUGUUCAUAAAUUAGGGCACUUGCCGGAAUUUUGAUCGGACGUUUGAACGGCCAAACGAUCUCCGUUUCGGCCCAAAUUCGGAGGAAGUAUUCUAUUCGACUAGACGAACAAGCCUGCGGUGGCUGAUUUUGUUUUUAACGGCUAAAUUUUCAGAUCUGAGAUGCAGAUAUCUCUCCUGAGGAUCCACAGGUGGGACAGGGAGGACUUCAGGAUGCUCCUGGAGAGGCCUAGUGGAGCGUGACAUUUAUUUGUUAUUGUGUUCCUUUUUGGAUUUUGGGGAUUUGUUUUAGCAAUUAUGACUCAUGGAUUUGCUAUGAAGCUUUAUUUGAUUAAGUUGUUAAUUGAGAACUUUUAUUUUGGACUAUAAUGAAUAUUUAUUUAAUCUUGUUGUUUUGAGUA